rnacentral:rRNA from 1 species
GAUGAACGCUAGCUACAGGCUUAACACAUGCAAGUCGAGGGGAAACGAGAGGGAAAGCCUGCUUUUUCUAGGCGUCGACCGGCGCACGGGCGAGUCACGCGUCUCCAACAUGCCCAUCACUUGGGGAUAACCUUGUGAAAGUAAGACUAAUACCCAAUGACGUGUCUAGAAGACAUCUCAAGGAGAUUAAAGAUCUAUCGGUGAUGGAUGGGGAUGCGUCUUAUUAGCUUGUUGGCGGGGUAACGGCCCACCAAGGCGACGAUCAGUAGGGGUUCUGAGAGGAAGGUCCCCCACAUUGGAACUGAGACACGGUCCAAACUCCUACGGGAGGCAGCAGUGAGGAAUAUUGGUCAAUGGACGAGAGUCUGAACCAGCCAAGUAGCGUGCAGGAAGACGGCCCUAUGGGUUGUAAACUGCUUUUAUAAGGGAAUAAAGUGAGUCUCGUGAGACUUUUUGCAUGUACCUUAUGAAUAAGGACCGGCUAAUUCCGUGCCAGCAGCCGCCGCCG